rnacentral:rRNA from 1 species
UUAAGUUAGAAAGAGCGUACGGUGGAUGCCUUGGCACCUGCAGCCGAAGAAGGACGCAGCAAUCUGCGAAAAGCCUCGGGGAGUCGAAAGCAGACAAAGAUCCGGGGGUAUCCGAAUGGGGAAACCCGCUAAUGGUAAUGCGUUAGCACAGCUUGCAAAGGCAAGUAUGAGGAAACCCAGCGAAUUGAAACAUCUUAGUAGCUGGAGGAAAAGAAAAUAAGAAUGAUUCCCUAAGUAGCGGCGAGCGAACGGGGAGCAGGCCAAACCGAUCUAAGGAUUGGGGUAGUAGGACCGCGAAGUGGCACGAAAGUUGAUAGUCGAACGACUUGGAAAAGUAGACCAAAGAGGGUGAAAGUCUCGUAGACGAAAUUGACCUGAAGCCUAGCGGGAUCCUGAGUACGACGAGACACGAGGAAUCUUGUCGGAAGCAGCCAGGACCAUCUGGCAAGCCUAAAUACUAGCAGGUGACCGAUAGUGAACCAGUACCGUGAGGGAAAGGUGAAAAGAACCCCGGGAGGGGAGUGAAAUAGAGAAUCUGAAACCGUAUGCUUACAACAAGUCAGAGCCCGUCAAAGGGUGAUGGCGUGCCUUUUGUAGAAUGAACCGGCGAGUUACCGUAUCGUGCGAGGUUAAGUUGAAGAGAUGGAGCCGAAGCGAAAGCGAGUCUUAAUAGGGCGCAAGUACGAUGUGGUAGACCCGAAGCCGAGUGAUCUAGCCAUGGCCAGGUUGAAGGUUGGGUGAAACCAACUGGAGGACCGAACCGACCCCCGUUGAAACGUUGGCGGAUGAGCUGUGGCUAGCGGAGAAAUUCCAAUCGAACUCGGCAAUAGCUGGUUCUCCCCGAAAUAGUUCUAGGACUAGCGUCGGAUAAAAGAUAAGUGGAGGUAGAGCACUGAAUGGAUGAUGGUCCCCCCCAGGGAUACUGAUUUCAAUUAAACUCCGAAUGCCAUUUAUUGAUCUCCGGCAGUCAGACAGCGAGUGAUAAGGUCCGUUGUCGAAAGGGAAACAGCCCAGAUCGCCAGCUAAGGUCCCAAAAUAUAUGCUAAGUGGAAAAGGAUGUGGAGUUGCACAAACAGCUAGGAGGUUGGCUUAGAAGCAGCCACCCUUGAAAGAGUGCGUAACAGCUCACUAGUCGAGUGGCUCUGCGCCGAAAAUGUACCGGGGCUAAGCAUAUUACCGAAGCUGCGAAUUAGUACGAUAGUAUUAGUGGUAGGGGAGCGUUCUGUACAGCGAAGAAGCUAUAGUGGAAGCGGUAGUGGAGCGUACAGAAGUGAGAAUGCCGGUGUGAGUAGCGAAAUGUUGGUGAGAAUCCAACACACCGUAUGACCAAGGAUUCCAGGGGCAGGCUCGUCCGCCCUGGGUAAGUCGGGACCUAAGGCGAGGCCGAAAGGCGUAGUCGAUGGACAACUGGUUGAUAUUCCAGUACCCGCGUAAGAGUGAAGGAGUGACAGAGAAGGCUAGGUGAACCACAUUACUGGAUUUGUGGACAAGCUAGAUAGCAGGCAGACAGGAAAAUCCGUCUGCAUGAUGCAAGUAGUGAAGUGGAGCCAACGGGUGACCAAGUAGCGAAGUCAUUGAUGCCAGCUCUCAAGAAAAGCUUCUAGCGUUAAUCUUAUGGCGGCCCGUACCAAAACCGACACAGGUGGUUGAGGAGAGUAUCCUAAGGUGAGCGAGAGAACUGUUGCCAAGGAACUCGGCAAAAUAGUCCCGUAACUUCGGAAGAAGGGACGCUCGAAAGAGCCGCAGUGAAAAGGCCCAAGCAACUGUUUAUCUAAAACACAGCUCUAUGCUAAGUCGUAAGACGAUGUAUAUGGGGUGACGCCUGCCCGGUGCUGGAAGGUUAAGGGGAACUGUCAUCGCAAGAGAAGCAGAGAACCGAAGCCCCAGUGAACGGCGGCCGUAACUAUAACGGUCCUAAGGUAGCGAAAUUCCUUGUCAGGUAAGUUCUGACCCGCACGAAAGGCGUAAUGAUUUGGGCGCUGUCUCGGCAGCAGACUCGGUGAAAUCUUAGUACCAGUAAAGAUGCUGGUUACCCGCAACUAGACGGAAAGACCCCGUGGAGCUUUACUGUAGUCUGAUAUUGGAUCUUGAUUAUUUAUGCACAGGAUAGGUGGGAGAUGAAGAUCUCAACACUCUGGUGUUGAGGGAGUCAGCGUUGGGAUACCACCCUUAAAUAAUUGAGGUUCUAACCGUGCUGAAACGACAGUCGGGACAGUGUCAGAUGGGCAGUUUGACUGGGGCGGUCGCCUCCUAAAAGGUAACGGAGGCGCCCAAAGGUACCCUCAGACUGGUUGGAAAUCAGUCUACGAGCGCAAAGGCAGAAGGGUGCUUGACUGCGAGAGCAACAACUCGAGCAGGGACGAAAGUCGGGCUUAGUGAUCCGGCGGUGCAGAAUGGAAUGGCCGUCGCUCAACGGAUAAAAGCUACCCCGGGGAUAACAGGCUGAUCUCGCCCAAGAGUUCACAUCGACGGCGAGGUUUGGCACCUCGAUGUCGGCUCAUCGCAUCCUGGAGCUGGAUUAGGUUCCAAGGGUUGGGCUGUCCGCCCAUUAAAGCGGUACGCGAGCUGGGUUCAGAACGUCGUGAGACAGUUCGGUCCCUAUCUGUUGUGGGCGUAGGAGAUUUGAGGAGUGCUGUCCCUAGUACGAGAGGACCGGGAUGGACAUAGCGCUGGUACACCAAUUGUUCCGCCAGGGGCAUAGUUGGGUAGCUAACUAUGGAUCGGAUAAACGCUGAAGGCAUCUAAGCGUGAAACCGGCUUCAAGAUGAGAUCUCCCACUUGAAAGAGGUAAGUUCCCUUGAAGACGACGAGGUAGAUAGGUCAGAAGUGCAAGUACAGCGAUGUAUUUAGCGGACUGAUACUAAUAGAACGAGGACUUAAUCU